rnacentral:tRNA from 1 species
UUGAGACGUAGCUCAGUUGGGGGAGCGAUAUGACUAUAAAGGGUCUGGAACGUACGCAGGUUCGAAUCCUGCCGUCUCAGU